UACUAGCCAUUUUAAACGAUUUACCUC
rnacentral:sRNA from 1 species